UACGGGGGGAGCAAGCGUUGUUCGGAAUUACUGGGCGUAAAGGGCUCGUAGGCGGUUCGUCACGUCGGGAGUGAAAACUCGGAGCUUAACUCCGAGCCUGCUUCCGAUACGGGCAGACUAGAGGUAGGCAGGGGAGAGCGGAACUCCUGGUGUAGCGGUGGAAUGCGUAGAUAUCGGAAGGAACACCAGUGGCGAAAGCGGCUUCCUGGUCCAGCACCGACGUUCAGGCACGAAAGCGUGGGGAGCAAACAGG
rnacentral:rRNA from 1 species